UACGUAGGGUGCAAGCGUUGUCCGGAUUGACUGGGCGUAAAGCGCACGCAGGUGGCUGAGUCAGUCGAUUGUGAAAGCCCUGGGCUUAACCUGGGAAUUGCAGUCGAUACUACUCAGCUAGAGUAUGGGAGAGGGUAGUGGAAUUCCCGGUGUAGCGGUGAAAUGCGUAGAUAUCGGGAGGAACAUCAGUGGCGAAGGCGGCUACCUGGCCCAAUACUGACACUCAGGUGCGACAGCGUGGGGAGCAAACAGG
rnacentral:rRNA from 1 species